rnacentral:ribozyme from 14 species
AAAUUUAAUAAAAAGGGGGGUUAUAAUAAUGACAACAGGAUAAAGACAGUUGCCUACUACUUUUCUCCCUCUUUGAGGUUUUUUUUUUUUUUUUUCUUCUUUUUCUU